CCUACGGGUGGCAGCAGUGGGGAAUAUUGGACAAUGGGGGCAACCCUGAUCCAGCGACGCCGCGUGUGUGAAGAAGGCCUGCGGGUUGUAAAGCACUUUUAGUGGGGAUGAAAAGCUCAGGGCUAAUACCUCUGGGUCUUGACCUAACCCACAGAAAAAGCACCGGCUAACUCUGUGCCAGCAGCCGCGGUAAUACAGAGGGUGCAAGCGUUAAUCGGAAUUACUGGGCGUAAAGCGUGCGUAGACGGUUAUGUAAGUUAGGUGUGAAAGCCCCGGGCUCAACCUGGGAAUUGCAUUUAAGACUGCAUAGCUAGGGUACGGAAGAGGGAAGCGGAAUUUCCGGUGUAGCGGUGAAAUGCGUAGAUAUCGGAAGGAACACCAGUGGCGAAAGCGGCUUCCUGGUCCAGUACCGACGUUCAGGCACGAAAGCGUGGGGAGCA
rnacentral:rRNA from 1 species